GGGCUAACUGCAAGUCGAACGAACUCUGGUAUUGAUUGGUGCUUGCAUCAUGAUUUACAUUUGAGUGAGUGGCGAACUGGUGAGUAACACGUGGGAAACCUGCCCAGAAGCGGGGGAUAACACCUGGAAACAGAUGCUAAUACCGCAUAACAACUUGGACCGCAUGGUCCGAGCUUGAAAGAUGGCUUCGGCUAUCACUUUUGGAUGGUCCCGCGGCGUAUUAGCUAGAUGGUGGGGUAACGGCUCACCAUGGCAAUGAUACGUAGCCGACCUGAGAGGGUAAUCGGCCACAUUGGGACUGAGACACGGCCCAAACUCCUACGGGAGGCAGCAGUAGGGAAUCUUCCACAAUGGACGAAAGUCUGAUGGAGCAACGCCGCGUGAGUGAAGAAGGGUUUCGGCUCGUAAAACUCUGUUGUUAAAGAAGAACAUAUCUGAGAGUAACUGUUCAGGUAUUGACGGUAUUUAACCAGAAAGCCACGGCUAACUACGUGCCAGCAGCCGCGGUAAUACGUAGGUGGCAAGCGUUGUCCGGAUUUAUUGGGCGUAAAGCGAGCGCAGGCGGUUUUUUAAGUCUGAUGUGAAAGCCUUCGGCUCAACCGAAGAAGUGCAUCGGAAACUGGGAAACUUGAGUGCAGAAGAGGACAGUGGAACUCCAUGUGUAGCGGUGAAAUGCGUAGAUAUAUGGAAGAACACCAGUGGCGAAGGCGGCUGUCUGGUCUGUAACUGACGCUGAGGCUCGAAAGUAUGGGUAGCAAACAGGAUUAGAUACCCUGGUAGUCCAUACCGUAAACGAUGAAUGCUAAGUGUUGGAGGGUUUCCGCCCUUCAGUGCUGCAGCUAACGCAUUAAGCAUUCCGCCUGGGGAGUACGGCCGCAAGGCUGAAACUCAAAGGAAUUGACGGGGGCCCGCACAAGCGGUGGAGCAUGUGGUUUAAUUCGAAGCUACGCGAAGAACCUUACCAGGUCUUGACAUACUAUGCAAAUCUAAGAGAUUAGACGUUCCCUUCGGGGACAUGGAUACAGGUGGUGCAUGGUUGUCGUCAGCUCGUGUCGUGAGAUGUUGGGUUAAGUCCCGCAACGAGCGCAACCCUUAUUAUCAGUUGCCAGCAUUAAGUUGGGCACUCUGGUGAGACUGCCGGUGACAAACCGGAGGAAGGUGGGGAUGACGUCAAAUCAUCAUGCCCCUUAUGACCUGGGCUACCACGUGCUACAUGGAU
rnacentral:rRNA from 1 species